GCCCUGGUGGUGGAAUUGGUAGACACAAGGGAUUUAAAAUCCCUCGGCGUUCGCGCGGUGCCGGUUCAAGUCCGGCCCGGGGCACCA
rnacentral:tRNA from 1 species